rnacentral:rRNA from 1 species
GACGAACGCUGGCGGCGUGCUUAACACAUGCAAGUCGAACGAAGUGGCGAACGGGUGAGUAACGCGUAAUCAACCUGCCCUUCAGGGGGGGACAACAGUUGGAAACGAAUGCUAAUACCGCAUACUGAAGGAGGGGAUUGCGUCUGAUUAGGUAGUUGGAGGGGUAACGGCCCACCAAGGCGCUGAUCAGUAGCCGGUCUGAGAGGGGGAACGGCCAAAUGGGGACUGAGACACGGCCCAGACGCCUACGGGAGGCAGCGUGGGGGAAUCUUCCGCAAUGGACGGAAGUCUGAAGGAGCAACGCCGAGUGAGUGAUGAAGGCCUUCGGGUUGUAAAGCUCUGUUAAUCGGGACGCGGUACCGGAAUAGAAAGCCACGGCUAACUACGUGCCAGCAGCCGCGGUAAUAC